rnacentral:rRNA from 1 species
GAUGAACGCUGGCGGCGUGCCUAAUACAUGCAAGUCGAGCGAAUGGAUUAAGAGCUUGCUCUUAUGAAGUUAGCGGCGGACGGGUGAGUAACACGUGGGUAACCUGCCCAUAAGACUGGGAUAACUCCGGGAAACCGGGGCUAAUACCGGAUAACAUUUUGAACCGCAUGGCUCGAAAUUGAAAGGCGGCUUCGGCUGUCACUUAUGGAUGGACCCGCGUCGCAUUAGCUAGUUGGUGAGGUAACGGCUCACCAAGGCAACGAUGCGUAGCCGACCUGGGAGGCGGAUCGGCCACACUGGGACUCGGAACCGGCCCAGACUCCUACAGGAGGCAGCAGUAGGGAAUCUUCCGCAAUGGACGAAAGUCUGAAAGAGCAACGCCGCGUGAGUGAUGAAGGCUUUCGGGUCGUAAAACUCUGUUGUUAGGGAAGAACAAAUGCUAGUUGAAUAAGCUGGCACCUUGACGGUAUCUAACCAGAAAGCCACGGCUAACUACGUGCCAGCAGCCGCCGUAA